CUAGCUGCGUGAAUUAAUGUGAAUUGCAGAACACAUUGAACAUCGACACCUUGAACGCACAUGGCGGCUUCGGGUUUACCCCGGGGCCACGCCCGUCUGAGGGUCGGUUGGCUAAAGCGAUCGCUACCUUGUCCGUAAAUUUUUUUUUUGUCCGGUUUCUAUCAUUUCUCGGGCUCUCGCGAGAUUGUGUAUGAGACUGGUACAUCAAAAUAAUUUUGGUAGCGCAUUGGGCCUUCGUGAAUAGCGUACGGUUAGCGCCCUUGCUCUCUGCGCUUCGUCGCAUGUUCUCGUGGCUUUAAGUACAGGAUGCGCCGUCGUCCUAUCUGUCCUACGAGAUGCUGCUCGCCUCGUCGGUGGUCUCUCGCUGCGCGACAGGUACCCGGCUCGUGCUUUAAAAGCGAGCUGUACGGACCUGGGACGCGCGUGAAAUGUUCGGGAGAUGGGCCGCAUAGCAGCGAUUCGUUCGGACUUACGGCGUCCGUCUUACACAUUAAUUUGUGUGGCGUGAAACAUUUUUUAUCCGACCUCAGAUCGGACGAGAUUACCCGCUGAAUUUAAGCAUAUUACUAAGCGGAGGAAAAGAAACUAACAAGGAUUUCCCUAGUAACGG
rnacentral:rRNA from 1 species